CCCAUAAAUGCCAUCUCCAGGAGAGGAGGUCCAACUACGUACAUCCUCACAAAGUUGCACCCGGGUCAGGAAAUGCCUGGCUGCACCGCAGCGAUUGCAGUCUCCGCAGUGACUGACGCCCAGAGUUCGCUCAUGAAGUGCGGGGAGACACGAAGGUCAAUCCAAGUUUCUGCAGCCUCUGUGGAGGGGAACAUGCCGGCUGACAGCCUCUACUAACAGGUUGGGGCUCCCUCCUGCUGCUCCUGCCCUCCCAGCCACCAGCUCAUUGGAGCAAGACCAGGUACUGACCAUGGGCAAUUACUCUGUUUUGAGGGGGCAUGGUGCAAAAUCUUUGCUCAUGCAGAGAAGCUGGAUCAAUCAUGAUCUCAUUAUUGGAUUUGAGUUGAGGUAUAAGUAGAACGUUCAACUGUUCACAGUGAAUUCACGGCUUAAAGAUGCAUGAAGGAGAGCCAUGAGGGAGAGUAAUUGCCUUGAAAAGUCAAAAAUAGGUCAGUUAACAUUAUUGGGAAGCAGGAUGUGUAAGAAAGGCUAUCAGGUUGAUAUAAAUACGUAGAAUAAAGAGUUAUGUUUUAGGGUAAAGACCGGAGAU
rnacentral:lncRNA from 1 species